CUUUUUGAUUUUAAUUUAAAGUCUAGCCUGCCCUAUGAUUUUAUUAAAUGGCUGCGGUAUCUUGACCGUGCAAAGGUAGCAUAAUCAUUAGUUUUUUAAUUGAAAGCUUGUAUGAAAGGUUGGAUGAAAAAAUAAUUGUCUCUAUUUAAUUUUUUUAGAAUUUUAUUUUUAAGUAAAAAAGCUUAAAUAGUUAUUGAAGACGAGAAGACCCUAUAGAGUUUUAUAAAUGAAAAUAUUAAAAGUUUAAGUAUUUUAAAAUUUAUUAUUAUAAUUUAUUUAGUUGGGGUGAUUAAAAAAUUUAAUUAACUUUUUUUGUAUUUUUACAUUUAUUUAUGAGUUUUUGAUCCUUUAUAAAGAUUAAAAGAUAAAAUUACCUUAGGGAUAACAGCGUAAUUUUUUUUAAGAGUUCUAAUCGGAAAAAAAGAUUGCGASCUCGAUGUUGGAUUAAAAUAAAUUUCUGGUGUAGGAGCUAGA
rnacentral:rRNA from 1 species